GAUGAACGCUGGCGGUGUGCCUUAGGCAUGCAAGUCGAACGAUAGACUCCCUUCGGGGAGUAGACAGUGGCAGACGGGUGAGUAACACGUAGGAAUCUACCAUUUAGUGGGGAAUAGCCCUCCGAAAGGAGGGGUAAUACCGCAUGUGAUCGCAAGAUUAAAGACUUCGGUCGCUAGAUGAGGAGCCUGCGUCCUAUCAGGUAGUUGGUGGGGUAAUAGCCUACCAAGCCAAUGACGGGUAGCCGAUGUGAGAGCAUGAUCGGCCACAAGGUUACUGAGACACGGAACCUACACCUACGGGUGGCAGCAACCGGGAAUAUUGCGCAAUGGACGAAAGUCUGACGCAGCGACACCGCGUGCGGGAUGAAGCUUUUCGGAGUGUAAACCGCUGUGGCGGGGGAUGAAUUUUUGACAGUACCCCGCUAGAAAGCACCUGCUAACUACGU
rnacentral:rRNA from 1 species